rnacentral:rRNA from 1 species
GACGAACCCGUGCGAACGUUGUUCGGAAUCACUGGGCUUAAAGGGCGCGUAGGCGGGUCUCCAAGUCCGGGUGAAAUACUUUCGGUCUCAACCGGAAAAUUAGCCUUGGAUACUGGAGAUCUCGAGGGAGGUAGGGCCGUGUGGAACUUCCGGUGGAGCGGUGAAAUGCGUUGAUAUCGGAAGGAACGCCGGUGGCGAAAGCGACGGGCUGGACCUCUUCUGACGCUGAGGCGCGAAAGCUAGGGGA